CAGCAGCCACGGUAAAACGUAGGGUGCGAGCGUCAAUCGGAAUUACUGGGCGUAAAGCGUGCGCAGGCGGUUGUGUAAGACAGGUGUGAAAUCCCCGGGCUUAACCUGGGAACUGCGCUUGUGACUGCACAGCUAGAGUAUGGCAGAGGGGGGUGGAAUUCCACGUGUAGCAGUGAAAUGCGUAGAGAUGUGGAGGAACACCGAUGGCGAAGGCAGCCCCCUGGGCCAAUACUGACGCUCAUGCACGAAAGCGUGGGGAGCAAACAGGAUUAGAUACCCCCGUAGUCCCUGUCUCUUAUAA
rnacentral:rRNA from 1 species